rnacentral:rRNA from 1 species
AUGACGGACUGGAUAGCCUGCAGUCAUGGUUUCGAUCUACCGGGCGUUCGAGCAUCACUUUGGCGGCGCCAGGUUCUAGAGGCCGCCGACCGCUUGCCCCUCCCGAUCGAUCAGAUUGAGUCGAGCCACCGUCUUCCGUUCGCUCCGCCCCGUCCCACAGUUGGGCUUUGGGCCUCUCCCUAUCUGGUCGUCAUCGCCCCGCAGUCGGCCUCUCCCGAUCGAUCGCUCUCGCCCCGCAGAACGGGCCUCUCCCGAUCGAUCCCCCCGCCCCCGCACAGUCUUCGUUUGAGGCAGCAGAUCGCCCCGCCACCAACCCAACCACCGAAUUCCUGCUGCUGGCUCGAUCCAUCUGCGGUUGUUCUCCCGUUCUCACGAAGCUAUGUCGCAGUUCCUCGCUGCCCGGUGAUCUUUGAUGGCACUAACUAUAUCGAGUUUGCUGGCUUCAUGCACAUUCAUAUGCGUGGCAUUCGUCUUUGGGGCGUUCUUUCUGGCGAGGUCUGUUGUCCGUCGUGUCCGGUUUCACCUAUGGCUCCUACUCCGCCGACGCCACUGGUUCUUGCUGCUGAUGCUGAUCAAGCUGCUAAGGAUGCAGCUAAGCUUGCAGAUGAUGCUGCCGUCCAUGCUUAUGAUGCCCAGGUUUCGACUUAUGAGGAGGCUCUUCAGACUUAUCAUGAGGCUCUUUCUGCUUACACUCAGUGGCUUGAUGAGGAUGCCCAUGCCGCAACUUUCUCACUGCUAGUGUUCUGCCUCAGUUUGCCUCUGAGUUCUUGGGGCUCCCUACCGUAUUUGACAUGUGGACCCGUCUCUGUCAACGCUAUCAACCCUCUGGUGAUGCCUUAUAUCUGUCUGUGGUCCGGCAGGAACAUGCUCUUCAGCAAGCUUGAUUCUCUCCGCAUUGCUGGUUGCCGUACUUGUCAGUGUUGCCAGGCUGUGCGAGCUAAUUUGGAGUUUCAUCGUGUCUACGAGUUCUUAUCUCGGCUCCGUAAGGAGUUUGAGCCCCGGCGUGCUCAGUUGUUUGCUCGCGGUCGUAUCUCCCUCAUGGAGGCGCUUUCCGAGAUUCAUGCUGAGGAGACUCGCCUACGUGGUGCAGGUCUACUUGAGGUUACCUCUGUGCUUGCUGCUCGAGUUCCUGUUAUGUCACUUGCUGCACUGACUCCAUCCAGCUCCAGUGCUCCUUCGCUCUUGCCUACUCCUACGGGCGGCCAGGGUCGGUCUCGUCCUCACUGUGGCUACUGCAAUAUGGAUGGUCAUGUUGAGUAUCAGUGCUUCUAG